rnacentral:rRNA from 1 species
GGGCGCAAGCCUGAUCCAGCCAUGCCGCGUGAGUGAAGAAGGCCUUCGGGUUGUAAAGCUCUUUCAGCUGGAAAGAAAUCGUAUCUAUUAAUACUAGGUGCGGAUGACGGUACCAUCAGAAGAAGCACCGGCUAACUACGUGCCAGCAGCCGCGGUAAUA